rnacentral:rRNA from 1 species
UACGAAGGGGGCUAGCGUUGCUCGGAAUCACUGGGCGUAAAGCGCACGUAGGCGGAUUGCUAAGUCAGGGGUGAAAUCCUGGAGCUCAACUCCAGAACUGCCUUUGAUACUGGCAAUCUCGAGUCCGGGAGAGGUGAGUGGAACUGCGAGUGUAGAGGUGAAAUUCGUAGAUAUUCGCAAGAACACCAGUGGCGAAGGCGGCUCACUGGCCCGGUACGUGACGCCUGACGUUGCGGAAAGCGUGGGGAGCAAGCAGGG